rnacentral:rRNA from 1 species
CCUACGGGGCGCACCAGUGGGGAAUAUUGCACAAUGGGCGCAAGCCUGAUGCAGCCAUGCCGCGUGUGUGAAGAAGGCCUUCGGGCUGUAAAGCACUUUCAGCGGGGAGGAAGGCGAUAAGGUUAAUAACCUUGUCGAUUGACGUUACCCGCAGAAGAAGCACCGGCUAACUCCGUGCCAGCAGCCGCGGUAAUACGGAGGGUGCAAGCGAUAAUCGGAAUUACUGGGCGUAAAGCGCACGCAGGCGGUCAGUCAAGUCGGAUGUGAAAUCCCCGGGCUCAACCUGGGAACUGCAUUCGAAACUGGCAGGCUAGAGUCUUGUAGAGGGGGGUAGAAUUCCAGGUGUAGCGGUGAAAUGCGUAGAGAUCUGGAGGAAUACCGGUGGCGAAGGCGGCCCCCUGGACAAAGACUGACGCUCAGGUGCGAAAGCGUGGGGAGCAAACAGGAUUAGAUACCCUCGUAGUC